AAUAAACGCUGGCGGCGUGCCUAACACAUGCAAGUCGAGCGAGAAAGCUCCUUCGGGAGUUAGUAAAGCGGCGAACGGGUGAGCAACACGUGAGAAUCUACCCUUUAGUGAAGAAUACCCUCGAGAAAUCGAGGCUAAUACUGCAUACGUCCCUUCGGGGAGAAAGAUGGCCUCUUUGCUAUCGCUAAAGGAUGAGCUUGCGUACUAUUAGCUAGUUGGCGGGGUAAAGGCCCACCAAGGCAAUGAUGGUUAACCGGCCUGAGAGGGUGUACGGUCACACUGGAACUUAGACACGGUCCAGACUCCUACGGGAGGCAGCAGUGAGGAAUCUUGCGCAAUGGGCGAAAGCCUGACGCAGCGACGCCGCGUGGAGGAUGACGGUUUUCGGAUUGUAAACUCCUGUUAAGCGGGAAGAAAGCCUUGUUUCUAAUACAAGCAAGGUAUGACGGUACCGCUAGAGAAAGCACCGGCUAACUUCGUGCCAGCAGCCGCGGUAAGGUAGA
rnacentral:rRNA from 1 species